UACGUAGGGGGCAAGCGUUGUCCGGAAUCAUUGGGCGUAAAGCGCGUGUAGGCGGCUCGAUAAGUCUGCUGUGAAAGUUCAGGGCUCAACCCUGAAAUGCCGGUGGAAACUGUCGAGCUAGAGUACGGAAGAGGUGAGUGGAAUUCCUGGUGUAGCGGUGAAAUGCGCAGAUAUCAGGAGGAACACCACUGGCGAAGGCAGCUCACUGGGACGUUACUGACGCUGAGACGCGAAAGCGUGGGGAGCAAACAGG
rnacentral:rRNA from 1 species